rnacentral:miRNA from 1 species
GUGUGUGUGUGUGUGUAUGUGUGUGUAUAUAUAUGUGUAUAUAGAUAUAGAUAUAGAUAUAUACACACAUACACACACAUAUAUGUAC